AACAUAUAACCAUAAGUGACCUAAAAUUCUAUGGAAAUAACGAAGAACCUGGAGGACACACCAUUUUUUAGGAAUUGUACGCCAUGACCUAAUAUUUAUGAAGGAGAUACUUGGGAUUGAUGGUUUUUCAGAUGAUACGUCGCGACGGGAUGAUUGAGGUGGAAGAUAUUCAUCAGAAGAAUUACCCUCUCUUGGUAAUAAAGGUGCACCGUCAUCUAAACUAUUUCUUUGAAGGGCUUGCUCAGGAUCCUCCAUCGCACCUGGAGCCUCGGCAGCA